CGAGAGUUUGAUCCUGGCUCAGGACGAACGCUGGCGGCGUGCUUAACACAUGCAAGUCGAACGAUGAACCACUUCGGUGGGGAUUAGUGGCGAACGGGUGAGUAACACGUGGGCAAUCUGCCCUUCACUCUGGGACAAGCCCUGGAAACGGGGUCUAAUACCGGAUACAACACUCUCGGGCAUCCGAUGAGUGUGGAAAGCUCCGGCGGUGAAGGAUGAGCCCGCGGCCUAUCAGCUUGUUGGUGAGGUAACGGCUCACCAAGGCGACGACGGGUAGCCGGCCUGAGAGGGCGACCGGCCACACUGGGACUGAGACACGGCCCAGACUCCUACGGGAGGCAGCAGUGGGGAAUAUUGCACAAUGGGCGAAAGCCUGAUGCAGCGACGCCGCGUGAGGGAUGACGGCCUUCGGGUUGUAAACCUCUUUCAGCAGGGAAGAAGCGAAAGUGACGGUACCUGCAGAAGAAGCGCCGGCUAACUACGUGCCAGCAGCCGCGGUAAUACGUAGGGCGCGAGCGUUGUCCGGAAUUAUUGGGCGUAAAGAGCUCGUAGGCGGUCUGUCGCGUCGGAUGUGAAAGCCCGGGGCUUAACCCCGGGUCUGCAUUCGAUACGGGCAGACUAGAGUGUGGUAGGGGAGAUCGGAAUUCCUGGUGUAGCGGUGAAAUGCGCAGAUAUCAGGAGGAACACCGGUGGCGAAGGCGGAUCUCUGGGCCAUUACUGACGCUGAGGAGCGAAAGCGUGGGGAGCGAACAGGAUUAGAUACCCUGGUAGUCCACGCCGUAAACGGUGGGAACUAGGUGUUGGCGACAUUCCACGUCGUCGGUGCCGCAGCUAACGCAUUAAGUCCCCG
rnacentral:rRNA from 1 species